rnacentral:sRNA from 26 species
GCUGGUGCUUUAAAUAGAUUACGGGGCGCUUUAUCUCCGGGCGGCGAUGACAGGUUAUGGAUGUCGUUGCCGUUUACAUA